rnacentral:rRNA from 1 species
UGGGGUGCUCGAGUGGCGAACGGGUGAGUAACACGUGAGUAACCUGCCCUUGACUUUGGGAUAACUUCAGGAAACUGGGGCUAAUACCGGAUAGGAGCUCCUGCUGCAUGGUGGGGGUUGGAAAGUUUCGGCGGUUGGGGAUGGACUCGCGGCUUAUCAGCUUGUUGGUGGGGUAGUGGCUUACCAAGGCUUUGACGGGUAGCCGGCCUGAGAGGGUGACCGGCCACAUUGGGACUGAGGUACGGCCCAG